GCGAGCGACCCCCUCUUCCAUGCCUCUCCUCCCUCGCCGCCCCCUUUGCCUUUGCCCUCCCCUCCCUCCGGCCGAAUCAAUCUGAAUCCAAUCCUCAAAAUCCUAAAAUCUCGAAGCAUGGCAAUAAAGUCAGCCAGCAUCUCGUGUUUUCUCCGGUGCGGCUGCGCCGCCGGCGCCGUUAGGCCAUCCCUAUGGGCGCGCAGCGCCGGUUUCCUCGGCCGCGACAGCCGUACCGAUGGAACCGGCUCGAAGCUGUACUGCAGCGCCCCUACUCCCUGGAGCUACGCUCACAACUUCGACUCAGACUCGGAAUCCAUGCCGCCUGGCCCUUGGUGGGGCGAGGCGCUGCUCGAAGAAGACGCCGAGUUUUUUCCUCUUGCCGAUUUUAUUCCAGUUGGGCAGGGCAGGAAAGAACUAGAUGCUAUAUGGCAUGCCCUGGUCGCUGGCCCGCUCGAAUCCAUCAUCCUCACGCUGCGCGAGAUCAUGGCCGCCGGCAACUUGUUCCGCUGCCGCAGCUUCCAUGUCGGCACUCUCUCAGGUGCUUUGCUAGUUCUUGCUGCGUUUUGCCAACUCUGCAAAACGACACCUACCCUUUUCAUGGACAUUGUUCUUGGGUAUGUGUUCUACAAGCUAAGUGUUUUAUCUGCACAGUUGCAAAAAGAUGGCAGGUCAUUUAGCAUAUGUGCACGGAUACAGCUAGUUCUUCUACUUAUUUUGUCUUUCAAGGAUAACAGUGCAUUUCAGGGUUUCUACCGCUUUCUUGUGGAAUUGAUCUGGUGCGCCUAGGCAUUCCAUGCGGACAUUGCACGGGAAGUACAGCAGGAGCUGACCUGCAUAAAGAAAUCAAGGGAAGACCGGGAGAGGAACCUAUAUGCCUAGGCAGAGUACAGCAGCAGCACAAAAUCGUGGGGAGACCGGUAAAGAAACCAGGAGCUCACCUGCCUGAAGAAAUACCAACAUGAGAACGAACUGAGAAGGAGGUUAGGAGCGCGCGGUGACACGUGGAGUAUAUCGAGGGCGGGCAGCCGGUGACGUGAGGAGAAGGAGCUCGAUGUCAAGCUUAGGGAUGUGAAGAGGAGCUCUGAGUGACAGACGGUGUGACAAGGAGGAGCUCAAGGUUGAGGUUAGUGGUGUGACAAGGAAGAGUUUCUGAUCCGGCGCAGGCGGCUCAAGGGAGGUGCUCAAUAUUUACAUGUAUUUCAUUAUGGCCUAUGAGGCGACCGUCGGUGUGAAGCAUGGCAGACUCUACUGGCUUGCAAUCUAUAGAUGGAUGCAGACGAAAGGAGGCCUGAUGAAGGUGCUGAAGCAUACCUUUCUUGAUAUCUUUGGAGGAAAUAAGAAGCCAGUCUCGAUAAAAAGAAGGAAUAGAAAGCGGCAGUAGGGAGAUGCAAAUAGGG